AUUGAACGCUGGCGGCAGGCUUAACACAUGCAAGUCGAACGAGUGGCGGACGGGUGAGUAAUGCUUGGGACUCUGGCUUUUGGAGGGGGAUAACGACGGGAAACCGUCGCUAAUACCGCGUACCAUAGGAUGAGCCCAAGUGGGAUUAGGUAGUUGGUGGGGUAAAUGCCUACCAAGCCUGCGAUCUCUAGCUGGUCGGAGAGGAUGACCGCCCACAGUGGAACGGAGACACGGGCCGAACACCUACGGGAGGAAGCGGGGGGGAAGAUUGCGCAAGGGGGAGAACCGGACGCACCAAUGCGGCGUGAAUGAGGAAGGCCUUCGGGUUGUAAAGUUCUUUCGGUAUUGAGGCGUUAAAUACAGAAGAAGCAACGGCUAACUCCGUGCCAGCAGCCGCGGUAAUUC
rnacentral:rRNA from 1 species